rnacentral:misc_RNA from 1 species
GUCGUAACAAGGUUUCCGUAGGUGAACCUGCGGAAGGAUCAUUACCACACCAAAAAAACUUUCCACGUGAACCGUUGUAACUAUGUUCUGUGCUCUCUUCUCGGAGAGAGCUGAACGAAGGUGGGCUGCUUAAUUGUAGUCUGCCGAUGUACUUUUAAACCCAUUAAACUAAUACUGAACUAUACUCCGAAAACGAAAGUCUUUGGUUUUAAUCAAUAACAACUUUCAGCAGUGGAUGUCUAGGCUC